UACGGGGGGGGCAAGCGUUGUUCGGAAUUACUGGGCGUAAAGGGCUCGUAGGUGGCCAACUAAGUCAGACGUGAAAUCCCUCGGCUUAACCGGGGAACUGCGUCUGAUACUGGAUGGCUAGAGAUUGGGAGAGGGAUGCGGAAUUCCAGGUGUAGCGGUGAAGUGCGUAGAUAUCUGGAGGAACACCGGUGGCGAAGGCGCCCACCUGGCCUGCUACUGACGCUGAAGCUCGAAAGCUAGGGGAGCAAACGGG
rnacentral:rRNA from 1 species